rnacentral:rRNA from 1 species
CGUAGGUGGCAAGCGUUGUCCGGAUUUACUGGGCGUAAAGAGCGCGCAGGCGGUCGUUCAAGUCGAGUGUGAAAGCCCCCGGCUCAACUGGGGAGGGUCACUCGAUACUGAUCGACUCGAAGGCAGGAGAGGGAAGUGGAAUUCCCGGUGUAGUGGUGAAAUGCGUAGAUAUCGGGGGGAACACCAGUGGCGAAGGCGACUUCCUGGCCUGUUCUUGACGCUGAGGCGCGAAAGCUAGGGGAGCAAACGGG